AAGGGAGACCUAAUUCAGGUAGGAGACGAAAAAAAAGUAGUCCCUACCAAGAAUCAAUCCCAAAAGGUCGGAGCGAGGCGAAAUUGGCUUUCAAACUAGGUUCUGGGUUCACACAAGACCUGAAUCAGGAACAAGGGCUAUUAGCUCAGGUGGUUAGAGCGCACCCCUGAUAAGGGUGAGGUCCCUGGUUCGAGUCCAGGAUGGCCCACCUGCACAGGUGGCAAAAACAAAGAAAAAAGGCUCCGAAUCAGCACCUUAUCUUACUUAUAUAGUAAGAGAGAAUGCUGGCUCUGAGUACAGAGUCCAGAGGAACCUUGAAAACUGCAUAGAGCUAGGUGAAAAAGCCAAAAAAGAAGACCGUUA
rnacentral:tRNA from 1 species